UACGGCCAUAGCACGUUGAAACACCGGUUCUCGUUUGAUCUCCGGAGUUAAGAAACGUUGAGCCUGUUUAUUACCUAAUUGGGUGACCGACUGGGAA